AAAUUGAAGAGUUUGAUCAUGGCUCAGAUUGAACGCUGGCGGCAGGCCUAACACAUGCAAGUCGAACGGUAACAGAAAGCAGCUUGCUGCUUUGCUGACGAGUGGCGGACGGGUGAGUAAUGUCUGGGAAACUGCCUGAUGGAGGGGGAUAACUACUGGAAACGGUAGCUAAUACCGCAUAACGUCGCAAGACCAAAGAGGGGGACCUUCGGGCCUCUUGCCAUCGGAUGUGCCCAGAUGGGAUUAGCUUGUUGGUGGGGUAACGGCUCACCAAGGCGACGAUCCCUAGCUGGUCUGAGAGGAUGACCAGCCACACUGGAACUGAGACACGGUCCAGACUCCUACGGGAGGCAGCAGUGGGGAAUAUUGCACAAUGGGCGCAAGCCUGAUGCAGCCAUGCCGCGUGUAUGAAGAAGGCCUUCGGGUUGUAAAGUACUUUCAGCGGGGAGGAAGGGAGUAAAGUUAAUACCUUUGCUCAUUGACGUUACCCGCAGAAGAAGCACCGGCUAACUCCGUGCCAGCAGCCGCGGUAAUACGGAGGGUGCAAGCGUUAAUCGGAAUUACUGGGCGUAAAGCGCACGCAGGCGGUUUGUUAAGUCAGAUGUGAAAUCCCCGGGCUCAACCUGGGAACUGCAUCUGAUACUGGCAAGCUUGAGUCUCGUAGAGGGGGGUAGAAUUCCAGGUGUAGCGGUGAAAUGCGUAGAGAUCCGGAGGAAUACCGGUGGCGAAGGCGGCCCCCUGGACGAAGACUGACGCUCAGGUGCGAAAGCGUGGGGAGCAAACAGGAUUAGAUACCCUGGUAGUCCACGCCGUAAACGAUGUCGACUUGGAGGUUGUGCCCUUGAGGCGUGGCUUCCGGAGCUAACGCGUUAAGUCGACCGCCUGGGGAGUACGGCCGCAAGGUUAAAACUCAAAUGAAUUGACGGGGGCCCGCACAAGCGGUGGAGCAUGUGGUUUAAUUCGAUGCAACGCGAAGAACCUUACCUGGUCUUGACAUCCACAGAACUUUCCAGAGAUGGAUUGGUGCCUUCGGGAACUGUGAGACAGGUGCUGCAUGGCUGUCGUCAGCUCGUGUUGUGAAAUGUUGGGUUAAGUCCCGCAACGAGCGCAACCCUUAUCCUUUGUUGCCAGCGGUCCGGCCGGGAACUCAAAGGAGACUGCCAGUGAUAAACUGGAGGAAGGUGGGGAUGACGUCAAGUCAUCAUGGCCCUUACGACCAGGGCUACACACGUGCUACAAUGGCGCAUACAAAGAGAAGCGACCUCGCGAGAGCAAGCGGACCUCAUAAAGUGCGUCGUAGUCCGGAUUGGAGUCUGCAACUCGACUCCAUGAAGUCGGAAUCGCUAGUAAUCGUGGAUCAGAAUGCCACGGUGAAUACGUUCCCGGGCCUUGUACACACCGCCCGUCACACCAUGGGAGUGGGUUGCAAAAGAAGUAGGUAGCUUAACCUUCGGGAGGGCGCUUACCACUUUGUGAUUCAUGACUGGGGUGAAGUCGUAACAAGGUAACCGUAGGGGAACCUGCGGUUGGAUCACCUCCUUA
rnacentral:rRNA from 1 species